rnacentral:rRNA from 1 species
GCGAACUCGGGGCGAGUAGGCGCGGUAAUACGGAGGGGGCGGGCGGUGUCCGGAAUUAGUGGGCGUAAAGGGCUCGUAGGCGGUUUGUCGCGUCGGGAGUGAAAACCAUGGGCUUAACUCAUGGCUUGCUUCCGAUACGGGCAGACUAGAGGCAUGCAGGGGAGAACGGAAUUCCUGGUGUAGCGGUGAAAUGCGCAGAUAUCAGGAGGAACACCGGUGGCGAAGGCGGUUCUCUGGGCAUGUCCUGACGCUGAGGAGCGAAAGUGUGGGGAGCGAACAGGAUUAGAUACCCUGGUAGUC